AUUGAACGCUGGCGGCAGGCCUAACACAUGCAAGUCGAGCGAGCGGCGGACGGGUGCGUACUGUAUGGGGACUGCCCGAUAGAGGGGGAUAACUACUGGAAACGGUAGCUAAUACCGCAUACUAUCGGAUAACCCAUAUGGGAUUAGCUAGUAGGUGAGGUAAUGGCUCACCUAGGCGACGAUCCCUAGCUGGUCUGAGAGGAGGAUCAGCCACACUGGGACUGAGACACGGCCCAGACUCCUACGGAGGCAGCAGUGGGGAAUAUUGCACAAGGGGCGCAAGCCUGAUGCAGCCAUGCCGCGUGUAUGAAGAAGGCCUUCGGGUUGUAAAGUACUUUCAGUCGGGAGGCGUUACCGACAGAAGAAGCACCGGCUAACUCCGUGCCAGCAGCCGCGGUAAUAC
rnacentral:rRNA from 1 species